AAUCAACGCUGGCGGCGUGCCUAACACAUGCAAGUCGAACGCGAAAGCCCCGCAAGGGUUAGUAGAGUGGCAAACGGGUGAGUAACACGUGGGUGACCUGCCUUAGAGUGGGGGAUAACGUCCCGAAAGGGACGCUAAUACCGCAUAACAUCCUGCCUUUGAAGAGGUGGAGAUCAAAGCCGGGGACCGCAAGGCCUGGCGCUCAAAGAGGGGCCCGCGCCUGAUUAGCUAGUUGGUGAGGUAAGGCUCACCAAGGCAACGAUCAGUAUCCGGCCUGAGAGGGCGGACGGACACACUGGGACUGAGACACGGCCCAGACUCCUACGGGAGGCAGCAGUGGGGAAUUGUUCGCAAUGGGCGCAAGCCUGACGACGCAACGCCGCGUGGAGGAUGAAG
rnacentral:rRNA from 1 species